CCUACGGGGGGCAGCAGUGGGGAAUAUUGCACAAUGGGGGAAACCCUGAUGCAGCGACGCCGCGUGAGUGAAGAAGGAAUUCGUUAUGUAAAGCUCUAUCAGCAGGGAAGAAAAUGACGGUACCUGAGUAAGAAGCCCCGGCUAACGACGGGCCAGCAGCCGCGGUAAUACGUAGGGGGCAAGCGUUAUCCGGAUUUACUGGGUGUAAAGGGAGCGUAGACGGCUGUGCACGUCUGGAGUGAAAGGCGGGGGCUCAACCCCCGGACUUCUCUGGAAACUGUACGGCUUGAGUGCAGGUGAGGUAAGUGGAAUUCCUCGUGUAGCGGUGAAAUGCGUAGAUAUUAGGCGGAACCCCAGUGGCGAAGGCGGCUUACUGGACUGUAACUGACGUUGAGGCUCGAAAGCGUGGGGAGCAAACAGGAUUAGAUACCCCUGUAGUC
rnacentral:rRNA from 1 species